GAGGGUUUUACGUUUAUAAGUCCUUAAAUUCUUUAUUGAAAAGAACUUUACGCCCAUAUGAGCCAAUGGCUUAAAACAUUAUACAUAAUAUACAGUUUACAUAUAUAAAACAAUGAAAAAGACAACGACCCACAAUACAUAAAAUGGAUAUAAUUUUGUGUUUCCAUUUUGUAAAUGUUUUACCGAGCGAGUACUCUUCACCGAGGUAACAUCCCUUCAUGUUAUUAUAUAUUUUUUUCCAUUGUAUUUAAGAAAACAAUAAAUAGAUUUCAUUUGUCUCCCUUUUUUGUUGUUGUAGAGAAUCAGUUUCAAAAUAUAGUUAUCUCCCAUCUUAAAUUUAGCCUGUUAGUCAAAGGGAGACAACUUUAAUUUUCCACAAAAAUUACGGAAUUCCAUAAUAUUAUGGAGUUCGCUAAGUGCCCCGACUG
rnacentral:lncRNA from 1 species